rnacentral:rRNA from 1 species
CCUAAGGCGGUGGAACUGGCAGACUAGAGAGCAGUAGGGGUAGCAGGAAUUCCCAGUGUAGCGGUGAAAUGCGUAGAGAUUGGGAAGAACAUCGGUGGCGAAAGCGUGCUACUGGGCUGUAUCUGACACUCAGGGACGAAAGCUAGGGGAGCGAAAGGGAUUAGAUACCCCUGUAGUCCUAGCCGUAAACGAUGGAUACUAGGCGUGGCUUGUAUCGACCCGAGCCGUGCCG